rnacentral:rRNA from 1 species
CCCUUAGAUGUCCUGGGCCGCACGCGUGCUACACUGACGCAUACAGCGAGUACUUUCCAGCUCCGCGAGGUAGCCGGUAAUCAGCAAUCUGCGUCGUGAUGGGGAUAGAUCUUUGGAAUUAUGGAUCUUGAACGAGGAAUUCCUAGUAAGCGCAGGUCAUUAGCCUGCGUUGAUUAAGUCCCUGCCCUUUGUACACACCGCCCGUCGCUCCUACCGAUGAGUGAUCCGGUGAACCUUUUGGACGGCGGUGCUCCUCGUGGGUGCUGCUGGAAAUCAAGUAAACCAAGUCACUUAGAGGAAGGAGAAGUCGUAACA